rnacentral:rRNA from 1 species
AUUGAACGCUGGCGGCAGGCCUAACACAUGCAAGUCGAAUGGUAACAGGAAACAGCUUGCUGUUUCGCUGACGAGUGGCGGACGGGUGAGUAAUGUCUGGGAAACUGCCUGAUGGAGGGGGAUAACUACUGGAAACGGUAGCUAAUACCGCAUAACGUCGCAAGACCAAAGAGGGGGACCUUCGGGCCUCUUGCCAUCAGAUGUGCCCAGAUGGGAUUAGCUAGUAGGUGGGGUAACGGCUCACCUAGGCGACGAUCCCUAGCUGGUCUGAGAGGAUGACCAGCCACACUGGAACUGAGACACGGUCCAGACUCCUACGGGAGGCAGCAGUGGGGAAUAUUGCACAAUGGGCGCAAGCCUGAUGCAGCCAUGCCGCGUGUAUGAAGAAGGCCUUCGUGUUGUAAAGUACUUUCAGCGGGGAGGAAGGGAGUAAAGUUAAUACCUUUGCUCAUUGACGUUACCCGCAGAAGAAGCACCGGCUAACUCCGUG